AAAAGUGACUAUCAAGAUAAGAUGAGCAUGGAGUUCUACUUUAAGAAGGAGAGGAGACUCAUCCUAAGGGAGCGAGCAACUGACAGUUACAAUGUUUCAGAAAGAAAAAGCUCACUGAAGACUGAAAGGGGGUGUUGAGUCUGGGAGAUGAUCUUGGGAUGAUGUGUUUUUUGUGGCGGUUCAGUAUCCCUCAGAAUCUUUCCAUCUUGCAUCCAUUCCACAUCAGCAAGGGCUUCCACAACCACUGGGAAAGAGUUCUACUCUCUGAUGAUAUUAUCACUCCUAAACUGCUUGUAUGUAAUCUAUGGACAGAAUGGAAGCAUUCUUGACCUGGAUAUUGUCAUCUUUACAGGUUUUAGAAACUGGGAAAACCCUGCAGGAGCCCCAGACACAAGCUCUGAGAAGGAUGAACAGUAUGUGUCUUGAAGCUGGCCUCUCCCGUGUGGUGUGGCUGUCCUUGAACCCUUCUCACCGAAGGCCUCUGGAAGAGAAAUGGCCAAGUCUACACAAAGGUGUCAAGUGGCUCCAGCUGCAAGGAGAGGAGAAAUUCAGUGGCUGGGAACCAGGCACUUGAUGAAAUAGGUCCCUGCAGUAUUGAUUUUGAACCUCUUUCACCAGUUAGCCAUUUUGAUUGAGGGUAUUGUCUGACACUGGGAUAGAAGGAAGUCAAAACUUGCCUUGAAUUUUAUUCCUCAGAUUCCUGGGGUGGUGGUGGGGGGGGGAUACUUACACAUAGGUAAUAUAAAAAUAGCUGUGUUCCUAGGGAAUUUGAAAGAAACAUUCAGAAAUUGCUGAAAACCAUAUAAUUUUGUAGUUGUACAAGCAGAGAUGACUUUUCUUGUUUAUUCAUUUUAAGAACACUUUAAAUUGGUUUGUGCAUAAUAAAAAUUUAGCCUUUUAUCAAUACUUGGGUAAAUAAAUGGCAGCCUCCCUGGAAUAUAGACUAUCAGGGGACCAUCAUACUGUGCUUUGCUAUUCCAUGUAGGAUGCUUUCUCUUUCGAAACUAGUAAAAGCCACAACUGCAUGCUUCAUUAUAAAAAACAGAACAAAAACUGGCCAGUGUUUUUCUUAUUUCAGAAAGACAAAGCUCAACAAUGAACAACAUAAUAGGAAUUUGACCUGAACAGUAAGAGAUUUGACUUUCUUGUUGCCAGGUUGGCUUAACCCCAUCCGUAAGUGUGGUCAGUAGUGAUGACAGCGAAUCCCUUCAACCAAUCAUCUUCUGGUUCUCUUCAUGGUAACUCAAGUUCUUUCUCUGUAUCUUCUGGCUUUUCCGCACUGUUGCUGCCUUCGGAUCCACCCGGAGACAGGACGGAGUCACCCAGGCUCAGCUAAGAUCCUGCUCUGGUGUUUACAGUUCACGACACACGAUGGACGCAGAAAGGAAUGACAACGGAUAAAGAACAAGCAAAGAACAGGAGACUUCUUACGACUUCCUCUAAAGUGUGAAGGCCACAUCCUUCUAUGGGGGGAGCUGGGAUGUGGGCAUAGGGACAGAAUCGGGUGGACAGGGGAGGUGACAUGGCAGACCAACAUGGGGCAGAGGGCACUCGGCAUCCGUGAACAAAAAGUGCCUUUGGUCUUGAGCUUCCUGCCUGGAGUUCAGUCGCCCCAAAGUCUUCUGAGUCCAACAAGAGACAGAUCUAGUUUCUCUCAUCUGCCACUCCUCACCUCCAGUUCAAAGCUAGCCUCCAGGAAACAUAAUCCUCUUCAGAGAUGUACUAGGGCUUGGAAUGAAGAUGACCUUUUUCAUUGUUAUGUAGAGCUGUUUGCUUCCUAUUUUGAAUGUCCCAUUGUUGAAUAAUAUUCUUUUUGGCUUUAUUAUUACCACCAGUGGAUUACCACCACUUUAUCGAAAUCCACCAGAGUACCUUGUUUCCCCCAAAUCAAAAGCAAUCUAAUCACAUGGUUGAAGUUAAGCUUCUAUUUGGAGAACGUGAUAAAAUGUUCAUAGUUCUAAAAUAGUGGUGUUUCCUGGCUCUCUGCUUCCAAUCACAUCUGAGUACCCUAUCAAGAUGUUUUUUGUUUGUUUGCUUUUGUUUUUAAAUAAAACAUGCAAGUCUACUCUCAGCUGAAGCUUUCCAUUACAAAACCAGAAAAGGCUAACUCAGGGAGGUUUUUAUUUUUAUGUUAUAGAAAACAUAAAAUGAGUCAAUCAUUUGUUUUCAUUAUAACUUUCAGGAAAAUGAAAUUCAGCCUUAUAAAAUGUUACUUCAUUUUAGACCAAAUAAAAUGGUUGUCUUUUCACACUGAUGAAUAUCCUCACCUUUUCCUAAGGUUUCAAACGAUCCUAUUUGCCCACAAGUGCUGUGUUUCAAAGGAAGAGCACUUUUGAGUUAUCUAUAAUGAUUUCUCGGCUUUUACCUUAGAGAAUAUUGCAAUGCGUUCUGCGUGAGAAGCUUAUAUUCUAUUUACAAAGAAAAAUAUCUAUAACUUUAUGCUUUGCUGGAAUAUGUUAUAGAAACCAAUACUCGAGUGUACAUGAAAAAGUUACUCUGGAAUUUCUAAAAUCUUCAAAAAGUUAGUGAUCUCACACACACACACACACACACACACACACACAUGCAUUAGCAUAUACACAUUCAUUCAUCAAUUUGUGUAACAUGGGAUGAGGUUUUGGAAAUAACCAUAUGAAUUUACUCUUCAUGGUAACUCAAAGUCUUUCUCUGUAUCUUCCCUGGCAUUAUUGUUCCAAGAAAGGGAAAUACAAGUGCUAGCAGAAAAAGAGGAGGCUAUGAGAUAGGAGCCUCAGGGUAGCAAAGUACAAAAUGAGGAAGGGAGAAAGGGCAGGAGAUGAGAAAAGGGAAGGAAUACACAUGUGAUUGUCCUGCUCCUCCCUUAGAGGUUAAUCUUCAAGGGAGGGAGUAGAUACAUUUUCCGAAGAACCCCCC